GUUUACGGCCAUACCAGCCUGGGUACGCCCUGAUCUCGUCUGAUCUCGGAAGCUAAGCAGGGUCGGGCCUGGUUAGUACUUGGAUGGGAGACCGCCUGGGAAUACCAGGUGCUGUAAGCU
rnacentral:rRNA from 1 species